rnacentral:rRNA from 1 species
UACGAAGGGGGCUAGCGUUGCUCGGAAUCACUGGGCGUAAAGCGCACGUAGGCGGAUUUUUAAGUCAGGGGUGAAAUCCUGGAGCUCAACUCCAGAACUGCCUUUGAUACUGGGAAUCUCGAGUCCGGAAGAGGUGAGUGGAACUGCGAGUGUAGAGGUGAAAUUCGUAGAUAUUCGGAGGAACACCAGUGGCGAAGGCGGCUCACUGGUCCGGUACUGACGCUGAGGUGCGAAAGCGUGGGGAGCAAACAGG